rnacentral:lncRNA from 10 species
AUUGCUUGCGGAAUGAUGGGUUGGAACAAGCAGGAUAAAUAGUAGUUGGGUAGAAAACAUUAGCUUGUGGCAAUACAGAUUAACACCUGUGUGAGGAAUUUCAAGUUCAGUCUUCUUGCAACAAAAAACUGAGAGAACCAAGUAAUGUAGUGACAAUGGUAAAUUUUUCUUGUUCUCCUGGAAAACAAGGGUUAAAGUAUUCCUCCACCCUCUGUGUUCCAAGAAAGUGCUUACUACAAAGAACCAUUCUUCUCCUUAUAACUUAGUUAAGACUCACUAAUGCCCCCUUGUUUAUCUAUGACAAGGCCAGACACAGACACUUCAAAAAAUUCCUGUUUUUUGCCCCAUAAUUGGUUAGCUAUUUUGUUCCUACUGAUCAAUGGGAGCAAAAUGCCUGUUAACCCAGUUUGGUUAAGAUUCUAUCCCUUCCCCAGGUCCCUGAACUUUGGCCUGACCUCAGCCUGUGUGAGUGAUAGAGACAGAAGGCAGCCAAGGGUCACAGGAGAAACCCCACCGUCAAGCCUAAAACAGCUUGAAGGCUGAAAAACCAGACUGCCGGUCCCAGAUAAAGCCCACCUUUUCCCGACUGAUUCUUUCUGAAUAAUGCCCACCUGCGCACUGGCGGGGACAGGCUGGAGCCUCUUGAAGUUUGCGCCCUUUGCAGUGGGGAGGAGCCUGGCCUCUCUAGUUCCUGUGUGGUAACCCGGGAUUCAAUCUGUGAGGCGGGAAACCUGCCAGCAGGACUCUCGCUUUUCUGUGGGUUCCUGUUUCCCUUUUUUAUUUUUUUCCUUUUCACCCAAUAAAUUCCAUUCCCCCUCACUCGUCAAAGUGUCUGUGUGCCUAACUUUUACUGGUUGUACGACAAGAACCCAGUUUUUUUCUACAACAUUUUUGGCGUCCGGAUGUGGGGCUUGAAGAAGGUUCAGUCAACCUAAAUCUUCAAAGAACUUGAGAAAACUGAAGACCUAGAAAUGGAUCAGGCCUUGAGACUCUGAAGGAAUUCGCAAGUAUUCAAAAAACAUUUUCCAGGAGACAAGAGAAAAACUAAGUUGCUGCAGUACGAGAAAGGGAGCACCUGCCUCUGAAAAUACAUCCCCGCAGGGGAAUCUCAAAAUCCAGAUUAUGGGAGAAGGCUUUAACCCUGCCUAGAGCUGGGAUGUUAUAAAAAUGAUUAUAUAACCAUAAAAACCCCAGAAGAAAACCUAGGCAAUACCAUUUAGGACAUAGGCAUGGACAACGACUUCAGGACAAAAACACCAAAAGCAAUUGCAACAAAAGCCAAAAUUGAC